rnacentral:rRNA from 1 species
GACGAACGCUGGCGGCGUGCUUAACACAUGCAAGUCGAACGGAAAGGCCCUGCUUUUGUGGGGUGCUCGAGUGGCGAACGGGUGAGUAACACGUGAGUAACCUGCCCUUGACUUUGGGAUAACUUCAGGAAACUGGGGCUAAUACCGGAUAGGAGCUCCUGCUGCAUGGUGGGGGUUGGAAAGUUUCGGCGGUUGGGGAUGGACUCGCGGCUUAUCAGCUUGUUGGUGGGGUAGUGGCUUACCAAGGCUUUGACGGGUAGCCGGCCUGAGAGGGUGACCAGCCACAUCGGGACUGAGAUACGGCCCAGACUCCUACGGGAGGCAGCAGUGGGGAAUAUUGCACAAUGGGCGGAAGCCUGAUGCAGCAACGCCGCGUGCGGGAUGACGGCCUUCGGGUUGUAAACCGCUUUCGCCUGUGACGAAGCGUGAGUGACGGUAAUGGGUAAAGAAGCACCGGCUAACUACGUG